UACGUAGGGUGCGAGCGUUGUCCGGAAUUAUUGGGCGUAAAGGGCUCGUAGGCGGUUUGUCGCGUCGGGAGUGAAAACCUUGGGCUUAACUCAGGGCUUGCUUUCGAUACGGGCAGACUAGAGGUAUGCAGGGGAGAACGGAAUUCCUGGUGUAGCGGUGAAAUGCGCAGAUAUCAGGAGGAACACCGGUGGCGAAGGCGGUUCUCUGGGCAUGAUCUGACGCUGAGGAGCGAAAGUGUGGGGAGCGAACAGA
rnacentral:rRNA from 1 species